AUUGAACGCUGGCGGCAGGCUUAACACAUGCAAGUCGAGCGAGCGGCGGACGGGUGAGUAAUGUCUGGGAAACUGCCUGAUGGAGGGGGAUAACUACUGGAAACGGUAGCUAAUACCGCAUACCAUCAGAUGUGCCCAGAUGGGAUUGGCUAGUAGGUGGGGUAAUGGCUGACCUAGGCGACGAUCCCUAGCUGGUCUGAGAGGAGGACGAGCCACACGGGAACUGUGACACGGUCCAGACUCCUACGGAGGGCAGCAGUGGGGAAUAUUGCACAAUGGGCGCAAGCCUGAUGCAGCCAUGCCGCGGGUAUGAAGAAGGCCUUCGGGUUGUAAAGUACGUUCAGCGAGGAGGCGUUACUCGCAGAAGAAGCACCGGCUAACUCCGUGCCAACAGCCGCGGUAAUUC
rnacentral:rRNA from 1 species